CCUACGGGGGGCUGCAGUGGGGGAUAUUGCACAAUGGGGGGAACCCUGAUGCAGCGACGCCGCGUGGGUGAAGAAGCGCCUCGGCGCGUAAAGCCCUGUCAGCAGGGAAGAAAAUGACGGUACCUGAAGAAGAAGCCCCGGCUAACUACGUGCCAGCAGCCGCGGGAAUACGUAGGGGGCAAGCGUUAUCCGGAUUUACUGGGUGUAAAGGGGGCGCAGACGGCGAUGCAAGCCAGGAGUGAAAGCCCGGGGCCCAACCCCGGGACUGCUCUUGGAACUGCGUGGCUGGAGUGCAGGAGGGGCAGGCGGAAUUCCUGGUGUAGCGGUGAAAUGCGUAGAUAUCAGGAGGAACACCGGUGGCGAAGGCGGCCUGCUGGACUGCAACUGACGUUGAGGCCCGAAAGCGUGGGGAGCAAACAGGAUUAGAUACCCCAGUAGUC
rnacentral:rRNA from 1 species